UACAGAGGCCUCGAGCGUUAGGCGGAAUCACUGGGCUUAAAGCGUGUGUAGGCGGACUUCUAAGUACCUUGUGAAAUCCCACGGCUCACCCGUGGAACUGCUUGGUAUACUGGUUGUCUUGAGGCCUUCUAGGGGCGAGUGGAACAAAUGGUGGAGCGGUGAAAUGCGUAGAUAUCAUUUGGAACGCCAAUGGUGAAAACAACUCGCUGGGGAAGUGCUGACGCUGAGACACGAAAGCCAGGGGAGCGAACGGG
rnacentral:rRNA from 1 species